rnacentral:rRNA from 1 species
UACGGGGGGGGCAAGCGUUGUUCGGAAUUACUGGGCGUAAAGGGCUCGUAGGCGGCCAACUAAGUCAGACGUGAAAUCCCUCGGCUUAACCGGGGAACUGCGUCUGAUACUGGAUGGCUUGAGUGUGGGAGAGGGAUGCGGAAUUCCAGGUGUAGCGGUGAAGUGCGUAGAUAUCUGGAGGAACACCGGUGGCGAAGGCGGCAUCCUGGACCACGACUGACGCUGAGUGAGCGAAAGCCAGGGGAGCAAACGGG